GAAGCUGAAUCAUAGAAUGCAGAGCUAAGACCUUAAUAGAUGUGCUUACAACGCCAAGGCAGAAUCGUAGAGCAAAUACGAUUCUCAACAAAUGAGCACUCCCAGAAUAUGCAAAGGAAUGGAGCCUCUGGUUGUCACUGCAAAGAUACAUCCCACCUGAAGGAAACCAAAGAGCACUCAAUGAACGACAUGCAAGAUCUAAGCAUCAAGUCAAUCAACAUCCAGACUGAGUUGUGAAGCCAUUCGAGAUGAAGUCUUCCACAAGUUGAUCAUAAGAAGACUUCAGUAACUGACUAAGGAAAGUCAGCUAGUGCAGUUGCUGUCAAGGAAAUAGAAGACAUCGACCUUGGAAGCAACCUGGAUCGUAGUUGUUGCCAAAUGAAGAAGGAACUGAUGGAGUGUGCACAAAGAUACUGGUCAGCCUCUGAAGAACAAGGCUCAAGUGAUUAAGCAUUGGGUCAGUCCAUUGAUGAUAAGUGAAUGGGAGAUCACAAGGAGAAAGCGAGUUGGACACGCCACAAAUUUGAAGUGUCUUGUUAUUCAGAAGAGGCCAGAGCAAGGAAUCUAGCCAUCAGUAUCUGAGAACAGUUGAGGCAAACAGAAGUGAUGAAGCACUGUACAAAAAGAG
rnacentral:lncRNA from 1 species